rnacentral:rRNA from 1 species
UACGUAGGGUGCGAGCGUUGUCCGGAAUUAUUAGGCGUAAAGGGCUCGUAGGCGGUUUGUCGCGUCGGGAGUGAAAUCCACUGGCUUAACUGGUGGCUUGCUUUCGAUACGGGCAGACUGGAGGUAUGCAGGGGAGAACGGAAUUCCUGGUGUAGCGGUGAAAUGCGCAGAUAUCAGGAGGAACACCGGUGGCGAAGGCGGAUCUCUGGGCCUUACCUGACGCUCAGGUGCGAAAGCUAGGGGAGCGAACAGG